GACAAACGCUGGCGGCGUGCCUAAAACAUGCAAGUCGAACGGACCCUUCGGGGUCAGUGGCGGACGGCUGAGUAACGCGUGGGUAACCUACCCAGGAAUGGGGAAUAACUAUCCGAAAGGAUGGCUAAUACCGCAUACGACCACCGGUCUGCGGAGUGGUGGGGAAAGUCGCAAGACGCUUUUGGAGGGGCCCGCGUUCGAUUAGCUAGUUGGUGAGGUAAAGGCCCACCAAGGCUUCGAUCGAUAGCUGGUCUGAGAGGAUGAUCAGCCAGACUGGGACUGUGACACGGCCCAGACUCCUACGGGAGGCAGCAGUGGGGAAUAUUGGACAAUGGGCGAAAGCCUGAUCCAGCCAUGCCGCGUGAGUGAUGAAGGCCUUAGGGUUGUAAAGCUCUUUUGUCCGGGAAGAUAAUGACUGUACCGGAAGAAUAAGCCCCGGCUAACUUCGUGCCAGCCGCCGCAGUAAUAC
rnacentral:rRNA from 1 species